ACCGUGGAAAGUUAAUUUCCCAAGAGGAGAGCCAAAUAAGACAGAAUAAAUACAGUGAAACAGAAAAUACCUUCUUAUUUGACUUUGAUUGGGACGGAAAACAAUGGUGCAUUGAUGCCUCAAAAGAAGAUGGUUCACUUGGGAGAUUAGUGAAUGACGAUUACAAGUCUCCUAACUGUAAAAUUAAAAAAAUAGGUGUUGGAGGCAAACCACAUCUGUGUUUGUUUUCAAUUAAGGACAUAGCUUCUGGUGAAGAAAUAACAUACAACUAUGGAGAUUCAAAAUGGCCAUGGCGUACUCUGAUCAACCGAGCAGACUCUUGCAGUGAUGAGAACACGCCAUCAGAAGAGGCCGCAUGCUUUCCUACCAAAAUCAACAAGAAGUCAACUGAACAGAUCAACCGAGCAGACUCUUGCAGUGAUGAGAACACGCCAUCAGAAGAGGCCGCAUGCUUUCCUACCAAAAUCAACAAGAAGUCAACUGAA